rnacentral:rRNA from 1 species
UGACUCAACACGGGAAACCUCACCAGGCCCAGACACCGGAAGGAUUGACAGAUUGAGAGCUCUUUCUUGAUUCGGUGGGUGGUGGUGCAUGGCCGUUCUUAGUUGGUGGAGCGAUUUGUCUGGUUAAUUCCGAUAACGAACGAGACUCUAGCCUGCUAAAUAGGCGUAUUUCGACAUCCUAAAGGCUCGCCGUUUUUUCGGGUUCGCUCGUUAAACGUGCGCGGUUUUUACUGUCGGCGUACAAACAAUUCUUCUUAGAGGGACAGGCGGCUUCUAGCCGCACGAGAUUGAGCAAUAACAGGUCAGUGAUGCCCUUAGAUGUUCUGGGCCGCACGCGCGCUACACUGAAGGAAUCAGCGUGUCCUCCCUGGCCGAGUGGCCCGGGUAACCCGCUGAACCUCCUUCGUGCUAGGGAUUGGGGCUUGCAAUUGUUCCCCAUGAACGAGGAAUUCCCAGUAAGCGCGAGUCAUAAGCUCGCGUUGAUUACGUCCCUGCCCUUUGUACACACCGCCCGUCGCUACUACCGAUUGAAUGAUUUAGUGAGGUCUUCGGACUGGUACGCGGUGGCGUUUCGACGUUGCCGAUGUAAUUGGAAAGAUGACCAAACUUGAUCAUUU